AGCAAAACAAUGCGGGAGAUCUGGGCUGCAGCGGCAGAGCGGCUCCGGGAGCUGCUGGCCGCCCGCUCCGCACGGGCACGGCAGGGACAGGGAUAGGGCGGGGGGCACGGCCGCCCGCAGCCCUGAGUGCCGCCGCGGGAGCCACAGCUGUGGACUGGUGUACAUGUGGCUCUUCAUUCCCUUGUGAAAUCCACGAGAGAGGACUGCUGUCUUGUCACACAUUGGAUCCAUUGCUUUCAUGAGAUCCUGAACCAAAACAAAACAAGAUAAACAAUGUCACAAAAACUAAAAGUGCACUGACAUAUGGAAGGGUCUACGCAAGCAAAAGAAUGUUUCUGAGCAAAGAAAUUCUGAACACAAAACAGCAUAUCAAAAUGGAAACUAUAAUGAAAGACAAGAUGAGCCAAGUGAAAUGCUACACUCAGAGCAUAGUCACAUUUUACUUGAAUUCAGCUUUUGGACCUCUUCUUUUCUAAUGGGAACGCAUGCAACACAGCACACCUCUGUAUUUGGAUCUAAACGUUGUGGUGUAAGGACACGCUCCUGUGUGAGUGGCGGCCAUUUUGUCACAUUCCCGGAGGCCAAUUUGCACACAGGAGAAAGCUGCCGUGUCAUAGAACGUAAAUUAUGCAAGACUGCGUGUCACCUCAGAGAGAUAUACUCUUGCUGAUUUGUAAAUUAAAGACAAACCACAAAAGUUCCUAAUUCCUUCACAACAUAACUACUCAUGAGUUUCUGUUGAAAGACUGCCAUCAAAAGGCAAUAAAUCUUCAGGAAAUAAUAUCACAAUGCAAGCUUUAAAGCACUCAUGACUUUUCCCCAACUUUCUCUGGAAUAUUUCUUCCAAAAGAAAGCAGAUGGCAAAAUACUCAGUGGGACUGCUUUUGCGUUCAAACCCUCCCAGGGGUUUCCAUUAAUUCGAGUUGUCUCUACACAGACACAGACACGAACAGAAAUAGCUGUCCAUCUUUCCUUAGGAUCACCAUGUUUUUUUCCUCAAAGUGCUUCGCUUUAUCGGACGUAUUAUUUGAAACUAGCAUCGCUGCUAGGUGCAUUUGCACUGCAGAAACACAAUGAGAGAAAAUACAAAUCAACACUUCUGGCUGAAGUGAAUUUGCAGAUCCAGGAUGUGUCAGGGUCCAGCCUGGACCCAUCCUCCUCCUGUGAGGCCGUGGGACAGAGGACAGAGGACCCGACCUUUCUCUGCCAGCCUAGCUGCAUGGCAGGGCAAAAACAGGUCUGCUGUGGAAGUCAGAGACCACCACUGAGCUGAAGUUUCUCAAGAAGCUGAAUUACUGUGGAGUAUUAGGUUUAUUUAUUUACUGAUGUACCAGGGAAAAACAAACCCCUGAAAAGACAGAUUUUCAGAGCUGGCCUCAUUCUGUCUCUAUUGAUGUCAGAAACAUCCACUGAAACAAAAUAAAUCCAAUGUUGGACGAUUCCAAAGAUCUCACUUUUGUAAAGCACAAAGGAGUUCACAGCAACUUCAUUAGUGGCAUUGCAGUAACGAACAAAGCGCAGCCGGGUGCAGGGCGCUGGCUGGCAGCCCCGCGGUGGUGGCCGCAGCCUGGUGGCCCAGGGGACGUGCGUCAUAGCAGGGAGCACCCAGCCACGCCGGUGCUGAGCAGCCAGCCGUUGCCAGGGGAUACAGUGCUCACAGCAAGGGAGCGGGCUUGCACAACCUGGAAUGAGCGUUUCAGCCCAAAAAAGGGAAACAUCGCUCAUAGAAAUGCAACAGUGAAGGCUAAGCAUGAGAGAUAAUCAGAUGUUAAUAUAAACGCGUUCCUUUCCAGUGUAAUAAAUAAACAUCAGAAAACAUGACAAGCGUGUUCCAAGUAACAGAGGGAUUUUUUCUAACAAUAAAUUCAGAUAAGUCAGGUUCUGCUGUACAGAAACAAACAGGAGAGACACAGCAAACUCAGAACAGUGCACUGGUUUACAGCAGUGUUGCAACACCUCUGCGUUGGCGAGCCGCACUGCUGGACUUGAGCCCCACUGCACCUCCGCGUGGCCUACCCAUCCCACCCAAGGGUGUUUUAAGCAGCCCACAGCGGGGAGGAAUUAAAGGUUAAUGACUGCAUUUACACUAACCACCUCUCAUGAGUAGCUGCAUGAGGGAAGGAGCCCUGACCAACACCUAUUUUGAGUGAAGGCAGCCAGCUAACCAGCCAACACUUAAUGUCAGGUGCUCCGCCUUCAGACCACACGUGUUUGCACUGUUUUUCAGGUGAUUUCACUUUUGAUCAUGUACAAUCUGCAGAGACUACUAAGCUAGUCACAAGUUGUUUGUUUUUUUUUUAAAUGGGUUAUAUUUUAAUAUGCGCACAAAGAUGUUAGCUUGACAGUCCUGUUUUCCAUAAAACAUUCAUAACAAGCAAUAAAGAUGGAACUUUACUGC
ensembl:lncRNA